AAAACUUAAAUACUAUAUACGGGUUAUUUAUAUGCCCUUUUUAUGCCUUGUGUUUUUUCAAUUUAAGAACUGAAUUUGUUUCACCAAAUGCCCACUAGAGUGCAGUAAGACACCACAUAAAACCUGAUGAACACUACAGCUCAAUUUAUCAAUGCUUUUCAACUAGUUUACUUACACCACUCAUCUAGCAUUGCCAUUAUGGUCUUUAUGGUCACGCUGGUCACCCAGCUUGGUUAUGCUGGCCAUCCAGCUUGGUCAUGCUGGCCAUUCACAUUGGUCAUUAUGGUCCUGCUGGUCAUUCAGCUUUGUCCUCAUAGUAAUGGUGGUCUUCCAGCUUGGUCAUACUGGCCAACCACCUUUGCCAUGCUGGUCAUCCAGUUUGGUCAUUAUGGUCUUCCAGCUUGGUCAAUAUGGUCAACAAGUUUGUCAUCCAGAUUAGUCAUGCUGGUAAUCUAGCUUGGUCUUCACAGUCAUGCUGGUCAUCCUCAUCCAGUUUGGCGAUGCCGGUCAACCGGCAACAUGUUUUAAGCCUAACUGGCCUCCAGGGGUCUCUUUGCCUGUAACGCUCGAACCCCGUAAAUCGCCGCUUGCGGCUAUAUUUAUUAUUAUUAUUAUUCUUUUUCUCCUGUAAAAACAGUUGUGCAGCCUAAACCGUAAGUCAUAGAGAAAUGAAACUUGGUAGGUAGAUGUAGGAUCAGUGCAUCUCGGUGGACAACAAAAAUGGCACCGAUUGGUCACGUGGUGGCGCUAUAAACAAGGAAAUUCAUUUUUCACAAUUUUCUCAAUAACUCAAAAACCAUAAGACCUACAUUCAAAAUUCUUUUUUUGAUGGAUUCCUUGGGUCAAUACCAACAACUUUCCAAUUUGGACCAUGCACUUCCGUCUAUAUAGAUUUUUUGCUAAUUUGCAUAAUAUGCAAAACCUACUUUUGCAAACUAGUCCUAGGAAUUUUGACCAAUCCUGGCAUGUUUGGUAUCAAAACACUCGUGAGAGCAUGCGUUUCAAUAUUCAUUAAGAAAAAGUUGAAAUAUGUAAACAAUAUGGCCGCCAUAUGCAAAUUAGUCCUUCCGGAUAUAUGCCCCAUUCACUUCAAGAGGUAAAUUUGGAGCACUGUUUCUCAGCAACCGUGCAACCGAGCAAGUUGAAACUUUGCAUGCAGAAUCUAUCAUACAGCCUCUAAAGGAUGUUCAAAGGGCAACUUAAUCAAUCAACAUGGCUGAACACCAUCAGCCAAUCAGCAUUCAGCAGACAUUUUGGCAGGCUGAAUGUUGCCCAAUCUGGAUGAUAUUUGGCAGUUAUGUUCAGGUGGAGACACUGUAGUGACCUGCAAAGUGCUGAAACAAUCCGCCCACUGGGGGGCGCUGUUCCAAAAAAACGAGUACAUGUCAAUCAUGCUGUACUAUUUUGACAUCUAAUUGUUUUUGCCAUAUUUAGUACAGUGGCUCUGACAAAUUUCUCAAUACAACUAUGUUUAAAAAGUGCUUUGUUCAUUCAUAAUUGCUAAUUGUUUGAAAAUAGCUAUAUUGAAACUACUCUCUGGAUAUUUGGCCUAUCACCUCCAUUUCAGUCUUGCUGCACACUGUAGAGUCUCUAGGUAAAUGUUCAUUAAAAACAUUUGUGAAAAUUUCACAUACAAUACUCUCCAGGCAUCAAGCAAUCUGUGCGUCCUUGGAAUUUCUAACCUAAAUUGCUGUAACUCUGCAGUAUUUGCUGUAAUCUCACAAUGUUAAAGACCUCUGUACAAUAUCACUCUGAUGAAGCGCCAUUUAAUACAGAACUAGAUUAAGAAUAACUUGACAUUACAUGUCAUAUCAGAGCAUUCACUCCUUUGUGCCUCUUCUCAACAUUAAUAACAGGUGAAAGACUUUUGAUCAUUUUAAAUGUGACAGAAUGUCUCCAAUUGUGUUAGACCUUCUUACACAUCACCAUCCUAUGCUCUAGUAGGCACCAUUGUGCUAGUUGGUGCUUGAUGAAGCGCCAUUUAAUUCAGAACUAGAUUUAUAAUAACUUCGUAAUUACAUGUCAUAUCAGAACAUUCACUCCUUUGUGUUAAUUUAAACUUGUUUGGUCAAACAUUUCAGCUUGUUCUGCAAAGGUUCAAAGGUCAAUCUGAAUACCACUUUGUGAACAUUCUGGUUGAAGCCACCUGAUCAAUACCAAUAACAUGUAGACACCUUUUGACUAGUUCUAACUCACUUAAUGAAUAUCCUACAAAGUUCACUAGAUUUACAUGUGAAUUUAAGCACUGAUCAGGUUGAAAGGCCUCUGCUCAACAUUAAUAACAGGUGAAAAACUUGAUAAUUUCUAAAUGUGACAGGGCAUCUCCAAUCAUAUUAGACCUUCUUACACAUCACCAUUCAAUGCUCCAGUAGGCACCAUUGUGCAAGUUGGUGCUUGAACCCGAUGAUUGCCGCUUGCGGCUAUAUUUAUAUUU